CUGCCGCGAGGGCAGCAAGAUGGGCGUAUAUGCGUGUGGCUGCCGGAGACAGCAGCAGCGGCACCGGCAGAGGCAGGGGCGGCUGUUUUCGGGUGGCUCGGUGUUUACGAAGUACUCUUAAGAGCUAAGUAUUCGACAAGAUUUACAUAAGGUAUCGGGGUUCAAGGCGUAACUAUUGCGCAAGAUCCGAAGGGCAUGGAGAGUUUAUUUUUAUUUUUAUUAUUUUCCUCUACUCAAACGUCGAACUCGGGUACGAACUUUUGUUUGAAACUUUGUAUUCACAACGGACUUUUAUUAGAGUAAACUAUAUAUUGUAAUAUUACUAUUUUCGAACACUA